UACGUAGGGGGCAAGCGUUGUCCGGAUUUAUUGGGCGUAAAGAGCGUGUAGGCGGCCAGACAGGUCCGUUGUGAAAACUCGAGGCUCAACCUCGAGACGCCGAUGGAAACCGUUUGGCUAGAGUCCGGAAGAGGAGAGUGGAAUUCCUGGUGUAGCGGUGAAAUGCGCAGAUAUCAGGAAGAACACCCGUGGCUAAGGCGGCUCUCUAGUACGGUACUGAUGCUGAGACGCGAAAGCGUGGGGAGCGAACAGG
rnacentral:rRNA from 1 species